rnacentral:rRNA from 1 species
AUUGAACGCUGGCGGCAGGCCUAACACAUGCAAGUCGAGCGGAUGAAGGGAGCUUGCUCCUGGAUUCAGCGGCGGACGGGUGAGUAAUGCCUAGGAAUCUGCCUGGUAGUGGGGGAUAACGUCCGGAAACGGGCGCUAAUACCGCAUACGUCCUGAGGGAGAAAGUGGGGGAUCUUCGGACCUCACGCUAUCAGAUGAGCCUAGGUCGGAUUAGCUAGUUGGUGGGGUAAAGGCCUACCAAGGCGACGAUCCGUAACUGGUCUGAGAGGAUGAUCAGUCACACUGGAACUGAGACACGGUCCAGACUCCUACGGGAGGCAGCAGUGGGGAAUAUUGGACAAUGGGCGAAAGCCUGAUCCAGCCAUGCCGCGUGUGUGAAGAAGGUCUUCGGAUCGUAAAGCACUUUUAGUUGGGAGGAAGGGCAGUAAGUUAAUACCUUGCUGUUUUGACGUUACCAACAGAAUAAGCACCGGCUAACUACGUG